GCCUGGGCAGAGUGAGACUCCGUCUCAGAAAUAUAAUAAUAAUGGCCGUAAGGAGCGUGCAUUUCUAAACCAAUGCUCGCAGAUGUGCAUACGGGGCCCUCUCCUGCUGCCAUCUGUUACACAGGUCUGUCAUCUUCCCACUUGGAUUUGAGGACUCUUGUCUUUCCUGGGGACACGUGAUUGGAUUACUUCAUCCAGCUUGCUCAGCCUCUGCUCUUCUGGGGAAAGAAGUUGUGACACAGGAUUUCCAUCAUUUCUCUAUCACAGUUGCCUCAGGAAGCGGGGAAGGAGGGGGAGCAGCGCUGUGGCCAGAACAUAACCUGAUGACCCCCUUGUGUCUCAGAUCAUCGGGCACUGGGACUAGUGGAGGCUGUCCUUGUAGCACUUGGCGCAGAACCAAGAGGAACACCGUUUCUGCCCUGGCUCUGACACAGCCAGCAUUUGGCCAGGUGCCUACUGUAUGCAUCAGGUACUGCCCUUAGCACUUUCCCCAUGUUAACUCAUUCCAACCUUCACAAUGACCCUGUGAGGUAAAGACUUACUACCGAGGUGUUGUUAGACCCACAACCUGAACUGUCACCCCAGAGAAGAGAAGACUGAGCUGAGCCAGAGCUGGUAGAACCAAGACCACAGUGCUCUGAAGCUUUAACAUGGUCUGGCUGACCCCAGGACUGACCUUCCCCCUGCCUCAUCUCCAUUCAGCUGCCUUGAUAUCUUGAGCUGAGAAGGAGGUGUGUGUUCAGGAUCUCAGUGGCAUCCUACACUGUGUAACAAGUGAAUGUGUGAGUAUGAACACACCGCAUAGGAAAAGGGAGAGAAGCCAGGAGCUCACGCUGGAUCUGAUCAUGUCAGGACAACUGAUUGAAAAAAAUCAGUCAGUGAUUUAGGUAUGGGACUCUGAACCACUGGUUUUGUUUCCACCCUUUGUUCUUCUCCAAAUAGAAUGAUUUUAUCUUGCUAAUAUUAAUAGGUAACCAGCUAUAAUGUUGUCCAGGCAGUGUGCUAAGUUUUUAAGUUGCGUUCUCAUCAAAUCCUUGCAGCAAUUCUACCAGGCAAUGUCUUCAUUGUACAAAGGAGAAAACGAAGGCUUAAAGAGUUAAGUACUUGUACAAAUAGCAGCUGGAUAUUUGAAUUCUGACACAUCUCUCCAGAGGCCACGCUCUCAGACUACACUAACUGUCCCCCACCUAGAUUCUUUUCCUGCACUUCUCUGUGUGCUGAGAAAUGGUGGUCAUGGAACCAGUGCUAGCCGGGAGGGCAUCUCAUGUGUGUAAGCCAUUGCCCCAGUGGUGGGCUUGCAGAGAAAGGACUGGAUACCCAGUGUCAUGUCUACUCAACAGCCAUGCAAGACUGGGUUCUUGAAGCUACAGCUCUUCACUGAUUCCUUGAGCAUCCAUGUGACUCUAGAGUUUAAUUAUGCAAGUGCAAGCUUUGCGCUCAAAUACAUGUGCAGUGUAAUUAGAGGAUAGCUGAUGCCUGAUUCACUGGCCUUACAAAUCUGUAGCUGCCCAGAUUUCAACUGUCAAUACAUGCUGAAGUCCUUUUCGGAUCAAAUUUAAGUUCAGAUAAAGAGUAUGUGCUGGGGACACAAUAAAUAUUUGGAAGGAAGAAAAGAUGGAAGGAAAGAAGUAAGGAAGGAGGAAAGGUAGGGUGGAAGGAUCCUCCAAACAGCUGGGUCCUCUGUAGCCUCACAAGGUUGGCAAGAUAAAUCACAGCUCAGCAUAAAGCCUAUGUCAGUGUUUGAUGUUUAAAAAGUGGGGAGGAGAGGCUCAGCCCACAGCCUCUGUGGACAGGUUUUCUUUCAUCUGCUUUCUAGCCAAAGGAUGUGAAGACAAGCUACAGAAACUGAUGGGUUGCAGCUGAGAUAGGUCAGAUUUUCACUCUAGCUCCCUGAACUGGCCACAGGGCCCCUUCGUUCUCUGAUUUCCAUCGUUCCUCUUUCCUCUGAUGGCUGACUCUCCCCACUGUCACUGCAUCUGACUCUUACUGCCUCCUCAGCACCUGCGGCCCCAUCUCCUCCAAGCUCUGAACUGCACAGGCAUCUUCUGAGAUACAGCCAUGUUUCGGUGCCCAGCCGGCUCUUCCUGCAGGUCUUCCUGCUUUCCUGAUGUCCCUCAGCUCACAACCUCUCUUUUCUAGCAGAGCAUAGACAGGAGCUCAUUUCUGGGUGCCUGGUCAUCAUUUCCUUCUUUAGUUCCAUUUUACAAACCCAGCUGUUGUAUGAAAAACAGGGCAUGCUAACCCUGUCUUCCAUCCACUAGGGCGGAGCUGACAGUUAAAACAAGGCUCUUUCCCAGCAAUUAGACCUCCAUUUCUCAGAAGAGGAAAGAGGGGAAGGGUGAACACACAGAAGGGCUCAUUUUCUGUUUGUCAAAGGAAUAAAUGGAUUAAGGAUCCUUGCAUUUCAAGAUUUCAGAGAUGGAGUCUUUGUAAGACAGUGAGUGCUGACUGAGAGGGAGCUGCACCCCAAUCACAGGGCCACGCACCCAGGGACAGUUUGCACCUAUGUGGAUUGUUUCCCAGCCAAAUGAUAUUCUGACCAUUAACUCAGGCAUUUGGGAUUCCCCAGAGAAACCAGAGUAGCAUCACUUGGGGGACUUUAUUUUUAAAAAUAAAAAUUCAAUUCCUUAAAUAG